rnacentral:rRNA from 1 species
UACGUAGGGUGCAAGCGUUGUCCGGAAUUAUUGGGCGUAAAGGGCUCGUAGGCGGUCCAUCGCGUCGGGAGUGAAAAGCUGGGGCUUAACCCCAGUCCUGCUUCCGAUACGGGUGGACUAGAGGUAGGUAGGGGAGAACGGAAUUCCUGGUGUAGCGGUGAAAUGACGCAGAUAUCAGGAGGAACACCGGUGGCGAAGGCGGUUCUCUGGGCAUGUUCUGACGCUGAGGAGCGAAAGUGUGGGGAGCGAACAGG